GCAGGCGUGUUGGAAUCGUAGACAAGUUUGUUUUAGGUACAAAUAGCUAACGCUGUGUAGGUUCAAGUCCUACCGCCUGUA
rnacentral:tRNA from 1 species